GCUUAAUGAACACUAUGUGUGUGUGUUUGUGUGUGUGUGUGUGUGUGUGUGUGUGUGUGUGUGUGUGUGUGUGUGUGUGUGUGUGUGUGUGUGUGUGUGUGUGUGUGUGUGUGUGUGUGUGUGUGUGUGUGUGUGAAUACCCUACCUCAGUAGAGUUGCAGACUCGCCCCUGAGCACAGAGACUACAACAAGAAGCGAAGAGGAGGAAAAGUGAAGCAAAGAGGCUCCAGAUUCACAACAGAAAAAGGUUAAGCCCCGCCCUCUGAUGAAAACAUAACCAUUGACCUCCCAGAUUUCUACGCUGCUUUGAUGGCAGAAAAGGCACCUCCCCCGACAAACUCCUCGUCCUCAACCACCUCCCCUUCCUCCCAUCACAACGGAAGGGUGUUGUCAAUGAGUCCCACCCCCCACAGGGACACUGGUUCAGCCGCACCUGUAGGACCUUCAUCCUGUAGUCCCAGACCGAGCACCUCGCCGCGCUCCCCACUGCGUCACAUCCUCAGUCUGGCCUCUAGAUCUGGGACGGGGUGUCCUUCCACCAAAUCACCCAGCGCCACAAGUCCGAGGAUCGCGCCCAAGCAUUCAGAGUCCAAUGGGCCCAGAAUACGUACUUUCAGCAACAAGGCUAGAAGGAGUGUGAAGGAGGUGUCCCACUCUCAGACCGAGGAGCUGCUGGAUCUGAUCGCGGAGGCUCAGCGGCAGAGGAUGGAGGAUCAGAGGGCUCCGGGGCCGGCCGUUGUGUGUGGAUCGUGCUGUCUGGACACCAGCCAAGACUUCUACAACAUGCUGAUCCACUACCAGUCUAGGAGGAUGGAGGACCAGAGAUGUUGGAUGCCAGAUACGGAUGAAGGUCCCAACCCGGUUUCUGACAGUCAGGAAGAGGGCUAGAGACACAAAACACACACACACAUACAAACACACACACACACACACACACACACACACACACACACACACACACACACACACACACACACACACACACACACACACACACACACACACACACACACAACAUCAUCCAAAACUAAGGUCAUCCUUUAUGAAAGUGAUAUUUUGUCGAACUUCAUUCAAUUUAGUUGUGGUGGUUAAUGUAGUAAAAAACGUAUGGUUCCAAUCUUGCCAGCAGCCAAGUUGCUUUGGCUAUCUUGACCUUAGAAUAAAUGCAGUCUGCUUGUUUCGCUCUGUUACAUAUUCACAAACAUAAAGGUUCACUCAGUGUGUAUUGGGGCAAUAUAUGUUAUUAAUUAUACUGUAUGAAAAUAAUGAGUAUAGUUCAUCCCUCUACUGCUACUGGCCUAAGGGGUGAUUCCAAACACAGCUCUCAUUGGUUGCAUUUCAUAUUCUGUCAACACUGGGUUGGAUAAAAUAUGAUGAACAUGUGACACAGCUCAAACUAAAAGGUUUCAAAGCUAUUCAAGCUAUAUACCCAGGAGUAUCAAAUGCCUAUGUCACCAAUGGCUGCUAUACACUCUAAUAAUGCAUGUCUCCAUGUCUUUUCUACCUGAGGCUUCUAAUUGGGAAAAUUUUACUUUUGGUUUGGAUUUAAAUAUUUCUAUCAUACAUGCUUGAAUUAGCCGUACAGCAACCUAACACACAGGCAUGUAGGCCUUCAACAAAGUGUCCAUUGCACUCAGCUGCUGAAUAUGUUGGUGCUUAUUGAAUAUGCUUGUUGUUAAAAGAACAACGAAAAUGGCUGGUGGUGUAAGAGACUCUUAGCCCCUUCAGACCCUCAGACCUUUCUGAAGUUCCUCAGACCUUUCUGAAGAACUUCAGACCUUCGUGGAGAUCCUCAGACCUGCCUUGAGACCCUCAUGUGCCUGCCUGGAGACCCUCAGAUCUUCCUCGAGACUCUCAGACCUUUCUUAAGACCCUCAGACCUUCUUGGAGACCCACAGACCUGCCUGGAUCCAGUGAGAGAAGAACAACAUGAGAGAUGAGCCCCCCCCCCCCCAACUUGUCCCCCCAAGAUAAGCAGGAAAGGACAAGUGCUGUACUGCUCUCUUUUUAAAUAACAUAAUUCUUAUUUGAUUUAGUAUGGAUGGUGCAUAUGUUUACUUUAAAACAGCUUAAUUUAAAUAAGCAAAAUAAUGCAUGUCAAGGUAACAGGCUCAUUCUUUUCGGUUUCCAUAAACUUAAACUCCAUGCAUAUUUCUGAUAAACAAUGCACAGCCGACUUUACAAGUGGUGGGUGGUUAUUUCCGUAGAGAGACUUCUUGAAUUGCCUGAGUUUAUCCAUUAGGCUUCCUUCCUUCAGGCAGCCUACAGCCUGCCUGAUAUUCACCAUAAAGCCUACAGCCAUGGACUGCUCCCUGUUGACUGCCUCUUCCACUGAAUGACAUGUUGGUCUAAUGGCGGCCUGUGAAGAGACAUCGACUUGAAACAUGACUGAUUUGGGGAGCUUGUUAACACAAAACGACACAUUAGGCCUACUGUUUGAUGAUUGGAACAUUGUAGAUGUAUCUUCACAAUUUCACUUGAAACAUGAUGUUGUUGGAGAAGUCAUUGUCAUUUUCUUUAAUUAUAUGGUCAAUAAAUGUGAAUUAUCUGUUAUAAAUAACAAAUGUAAUUUAAAAAGUGACAAAAUACACUAAAGGUUGACAUCAAAUAA
ensembl:lncRNA